rnacentral:rRNA from 1 species
CGGUGUUUAACUGGCGUGAUGUGGGACGUCCUACCGGUGGGCUUAGCCUCGCGAGGGGCGGCCCAACUAAUAUCCCGUCGUGGUGCUCUUUACUGAGUGUCGAGUCGGGCCGGUACGUUUACUUUGAACAAAUUAGAGUGCUUAAAGCAGGCUAUCCUCGCCUGAAUACUGCGUGCAUGGAAUAAUGGAAUAGGACCUCGGUUCUAUUUUGUUGGUUUUCGGAACCCCGAGGUAAUGAUUAAUAGGGACAGAUGGGGGCAUUCGUAUUGCGACGUUAGAGGUGAAAUUCUUGGAUCGUCGCAAGACGGACAGAAGCGAAAGCAUUUGCCAAAAAUGUUUUCAUUAAUCAAGAACGAAAGUUAGAGGUUCGAAGGCGAUCAGAUACCGCCCUAGUUCUAACCAUAAACGAUGCCAGCUAGCGAUCCGCCGAAGUUCCUCCGAUGACUCGGCGGGCAGCUUCCGGGAAACCAAAGCUUUUGGGUUCCGGGGGAAGUAUGGUUGCAAAGCUGAAACUUAAAGGAAUUGACGGAAGGGCACCACCAGGAGUGGAGCCUGCGGCUUAAUUUGACUCAACACGGGAAACCUCACCAGGCCCAGACACCGGAAGGAUUGACAGAUUGAUAGCUCUUUCUUGAUUCGGUGGGUGGUGGUGCAUGGCCGUUCUUAGUUGGUGGAGCGAUUUGUCUGGUUAAUUCCGAUAACGAACGAGACUCUAGCCUGCUAAAUAGGCGUACCUUAUGGUAUCGCGAAGGCCCCCGGCUUCGGCCGGUGGGUUUUUACUACCAACGUACAAACAAAUCUUCUUAGAGGGACAGGCGG